rnacentral:rRNA from 1 species
AACGAACGCUGGCGGCAUGCCUAACACAUGCAAGUCGAACGAGACCUUCGGGUCUAGUGGCGCACGGGUGCGUAACACGUGGGAAUCUGCCCUUUGCUUCGGAAUAACAGUUAGAAAUGACUGCUAAUACCGGAUGAUGUCGAAAGACCAAAGAUUUAUCGGCAAAGGAUGAGCCCGCGUAGGAUUAGGUAGUUGGUGGGGUAAAGGCCUACCAAGCCGACGAUCCUUAGCUGGUCUGAGAGGAUGAUCAGCCACACUGGGACUGAGACACGGCCCAGACUCCUACGGGAGGCAGCAGUGGGGAAUAUUGGACAAUGGGCGAAAGCCUGAUCCAGCAAUGCCGCGUGAGUGAUGAAGGCCUUAGGGUUGUAAAGCUCUUUUACCAGGGAUGAUAAUGACAGUACCUGGAGAGUAAGCUCCGGCUAACUCCGUGCCAGCCGCCGCAGUAAUAC